UCAUUAUUGUGUUUAAUUCUAAUAAUGUCCAAAUGCAACACACUGUAUUAUGGUUCCGGAAAUGCUACAAGCAGUGAAUAUGCUACACCUAAUGCAAAGAUCGAGUGUAUAAAAAGAGUUAAGGAGUAUAAGCUAUAACAGUCAUUCAUGAUGAAGUCCGGCAUUCUAUUAUUCGUUGCCUUUGAACUCUUCAGCUCUAUGCAGCUACUUGCAUUGGCACAAGAGUCUGGAUCAGUGGCUGUUGGUGGGACUCCUAGCGUCAGUGUCCUUCGUGGUCGUGAUGGCAGGGAUGGGCCACGAGGAAGAGACGGACGUGAUGGAGUGCAAGGAGUAGUGGGUCCAAGAGGAUCCCCUGGAAUGAAUGGACCUCCUGGUACAUCUGGAGCCCCUGGACCAAAGAGUGGGGGUGUGGUCUAUACCAGGUGGGGGAAGAUUACCUGCAGAGAUGGAGCUAUUCUAGUCUAUGCUGGAGUAAUGGCUGGAAGUCAUCACAUAAAAAAUGGAGGUGGCACCACACGACUGUGUAUGCCCAAUGAUCCCGACUACACACUCCCAUUCAUUAGUGGUGUGCAGAGCUACAGCCCACUCUACAAUGUUGAAUAUCAAGCUACUGUUCGAAAUGUUAACCACGACAUUCCUUGCGCUGUGUGUAUGGUGCCCACUAAAGACCUUGUGCUAAUGGUACCCGGCAAGAGCUCUUGUCCAGCUGGAUUCACGAGAGAGUACUAUGGCUACCUCAUGUCAGAGAGGGUACAUGUUAAUCAUAAACGAUCGACAUUUGAAUGUGUUGACAAAGAUCUCGAGUCUGUGCAUGGAAGUUCACAUCACCAGGGACACGGUCUGUUUGGUCAUGUUGAGGCUGUGUGUAAUGCACUCGCUUGCCCUCCUUACAACAAUUACAAAGAGAUCAACUGUGCUAUGUGCACAAUGUAGCUCUCUGUUAUUAAAACUAUGAGCUGAAUGCCGAAAAACUGAACUAUUAUAAUUAUGUACAGUACUACAGUACAGCUGUGAUUGGGAGUCCUUGCCACAGAUGUGCAAUUGCUUCCAAGACAACAUCUCCUCAUUAGUUGAUUCGUCAGUCACAAUAAAGAAGAAAUAGGACACCUCUUUCAGCAGAUUGGCCCAUUUUGUGUUGUGUCAUCAUAGCAUGCAUGUGGCAUGUGGGUAGGUGACCAAUUUAUGAAUGUCAUUAAAAACCAUCCCCAAUACACAAAUACAAGAGAGUAAGCUUAUAGGUAAGAGUAAGAGUGUUGAACUGCUAUAUAGUAACACCAUGCAAGGGCGUAUGAAGAGAAGGUGCAUACCGUAUUGCUAGAAUGUUUUGCGAGCAUCAAACAUUUGUGAACUUUGCGAUGGUUAAUCAAUUCCCAACAAUAAAAUCCGCAAAAUCUAAACUAGUAAAUACACACGAUCCUUGCCAGAACGCAAUAGUUAGAUUGCAAAGGGUCAAUUUUCUGCUAAUUUGGCUCAUUCGCAAAGGUUUUUCACCAGCAAAAUAUUCUAGUAAUACGUGGUAUAUAGCAGCUGGGUGACUCGUGCACUGCAUGCAUGGGACUGUAUUUAUAUAUACACAAGAUCAUAGAACUAUAGAGCCAGCGUUUAAGGUGCCUUGUAAAUUAAUUCACUUCCUUGAAGGCGACCAUGUUAUUGUAUGCAUGUGCCCAAAAUGUGGACUGCUGUUGAUCAAUAUUAGGUGGGUGGACUGUGGCAUAUUCAGUAAUAUAUCCGGCCUGCCUCUGGAAAAAAGGUGAAUGUCUUGAGGUUCUACUGUAUAUUCUUUGCACUGUACAAUAACAUUUAUGAUUAUAAUUAUAUGCUCACUGUGAAGAUUUUCUAAGAACGCCCCCUCCUUCUCAACCCCAAUCACUUUCAAGCAGCCAUCAUGCAGGAUAUGACUUUUGGGAAGUGAUCAACUCAACUCGCAAAAUUCGCAUUAUUAUGUUUGAUGCUUGCAAAACAUUAUAGGUAUAUAAUUAUGAUUGACACAGACUGCCAGCUUGGUAAAUACAAUCAUGCAACAAUCAUUAUUUUGCUAUCCAUAAUUUUUUUACGUUAACUUAAUUGUAAUGCAUGUUUAGAAACAUGACACCUAAUCACAACAUGCAAGUAGAAACAUAAUGGAUACAGGAACAAGUGUGUAGGAAGGAAAAUCAUUAGUGAAAAUUGACUUACAGCAGAGGUACAUACAACGUAUUGUAUGUCAUCAUAGUAAUUAUUACUUUCAGUUUCUACCAAUGAAACCCUACACUAACAAUAAUACUAUUAUUCUGUAGGAGCAUACAGUAUACAAGUAUAAGUUCCCGGAAAUGUCUUAAGCACUUGUACCCUGUAUAUGUAUGUAGUCAAAGGGUAUAAAACAAAACAAUUUUAGCCAGCAAAACAUGAGUUCGGUUGCUGCACGUGAAAAAAUCAGCCAUGGUGAAAUCAGGCCUUCUGCUACUAUUUGGAGUGUUCGGCUCUCUACAGCUGCUAGCAAUAGCAGAAUUGCAAGAGUCUGAAUCCAACGUCAGUGUCCUCUGUGGUCGUGAUGGCAGGGAUGGGCCACGAGGAAGAGACGGACGUGAUGGAGUACAAGGACCAGUGGGCCCAAGAGGAUCUCCCGGAAUGAAUGGACCUCCUGGUACAUCUGGAGCCCCUGGUCCAAAGAGUGGGGGUGUGGUCUACACCAGGUGGGGGAAGCAUACCUGCAGAGAUGGAGCCAAUCUAGUCUAUGCUGGAGUAAUGGCUGGGAGUCAUUAUCAUCAGGCUGGUGGUGGCACCACUUGAUUGUGCAUGCCCAAUAAUCCCGACUACACCCUCCCAUUUAUUAAUG